UACGUAGGGGGCAAGCGUUGUCCGGAAUCAUUGGGCGUAAAGCGCGUGUAGGCGGUUCAGUAAGUCUGCUGUGAAAGUCCAGGGCUCAACCCUGGGAUGCCGGUGGAUACUGCUGAACUAGAGUGCGGAAGAGGCGAGUGGAAUUCCCGGUGUAGCGGUGAAAUGCGCAGAUAUCGGGAGGAACACCAAUAGCGAAGGCAGCUCGCUGGGACGUUACUGACACUGAGGCGCGAAAGCGUGGGGAGCGAACAGG
rnacentral:rRNA from 1 species